rnacentral:misc_RNA from 1 species
CACGUAGGAUCCAAGCGUUAUCCGGAUUUACUGGGCGUAAAGCGCGUGCAGGUGGCCUAUUAAGUUGGAUGUUAAAACUCCCGGCUCAACUGGGAGCUGUCGUUCAAAACUAGUAGGCUAGAGGACGGUAGAGGGAGGUGGAAUUCCGGGUGUAGUGGUGAAAUGCGUAGAUAUCCGGAGGAACACCAGUGGCGAAGGCGGCCUCCUGGCCCGCUCCUGACACUAAGACGCGAAAGCUAGGGUAGCGAACGGG